GUCUUGUUUUGACCCGGUUAAAUAUUAAGUAGAAAUUUCUUGCCAAGUGACAGUAAUAUAUUUGCGAAGUUGAUAAGGAAGCCCGUUCCAGCGACACAUCUAUAUACCUUAAUAAAGGAAGUGACACACCUCAUUGCAGGUUUGGUGACCAGUACAGUAAACAAACAUGUUUAUACGAGGUUACCUCAAUAUAAAACCGAGUCCCUUUUAUACAUGCCAUAUAAAACAAACAAAAUGAAUGUAUUUAUCUAUUUGUUAUCUUUUAUAUGUAUGCGCUGUACAUAAUUGAUUUAAACUCCUUUGGUAUAUAUUCCAUAUGGCGGUGCUCCUACUUACAGGAGGCUUAUACACAGAAGAAGAAGCCGAGCGCCAUCUGUCGUCAUAAUGAUCGUUAGCAUAAUACAACGAUGACAUUUAACACUUCGACAUUUCACACAUCGACAAUUCACGAAUCGACAAGUCACAUGUUACAAGUUACAAAACAUCAAUAUACAAAAAGACAAUUUACCAAUAAAGAAUUUUGAAAUCUACAAGUUACAAAUUGACAAUUAACAAAUGAAGAAUGUUGAAUUUUGAUACAAAGAUACAAG
rnacentral:lncRNA from 1 species